ACUACAUCUCCCAUCAGCCUUCACACAUCACAUCACUUGACCUGACCAUAUGUCACUCAUCCCUCACACCUGUUUCUUUUUUACCACUAAUUAGCAUUGUAGUCUGUAGUCCUCACCAUUAGUCUCACGUGGUUGCUGUCUGGUUCAUGUUUGUUUGCUUUAUGUAUUUAUCUGCACUUUAUAUGACACUCAGGGCUCCUAUAGACUUCAAACUGGGCAGGAGGUUGGAAUAUAUACCCAGAUGGCAGCCAAUUCACCAUGCAUGCAGUUAAACACAGGGAAUCAUCUUAAACCCAGAGCAAGUUUAGGUUGGAGUUUCUAUUCAAUCAGAUUUUAGCAUCACGUGUUGCAAAGGAACUGCUCAGGGAUCAACACCUUUGGGAUCUCAAAGCGUACAGUAAUUGGCGAGCCACCCCAGGAGCUCAACGAGUCAGCAGAAAUCCAAAAUCUGACCUGUGUGUCAAAAUCUGACACUGUUGCAGACGCUGUGGCCGUCUGUAGAAUACAAGGGGUAAAAAAGAACACUGGGGACGUUUCCGCUCGACGCCUCGAGGAUGAGGAAAGCCCCAAAGCUCUUGGGAAAUUAGAGUGACAUUUUGAAAUCUCUCAUGUUCUGCGUCUUCGUCUGCCUUCUCUGUCUACGUUCUGCUGGAAGGUAAAAAUAUUUCUUUGAACAUGCUACCAUGACACCAGGCUAGGAGUGACUGGCUUCAAGGAAAUGCAAAUGUGAGACUCGCAGAAGUUCAUACUACUCCUCGUAUCCAAAAACAAAACUGCCAUCGUUCUCUGAAAAAGUUCGGUUUUAAUGUGGAAUAUGAAUCUGAUUUUUUUUUUUUUUUUUUUUUGGGCCAAAGAAAAUCAUACAUCUCAGCAGGCUUUUGGUAGAAUCCCCAAUUUUUGUAAAUUUCCACCCUGAAACACAAUAUGAAGAAUAUUUUGAUUGCAAUUUUUGACACAAUUGUGUAGGACGACUUUGGUUGCUGUAGCAUUUAAUUUUUCCCUUCAAAUUGAACUAGGAGUCUCAAACUUGCUCCAGCAUGACAAUGCCACUAUUCCAUGGGUUGGAGUGGAAGAUCUCCUGCUUUAAAACUCAAUCCUAUUCAACACCUUGGGAAUGAAAUUUUCAUGCUGACUGCUCCCCCACGCCUCCUCACCUCACCUACAUCUUUACCUUCCUCUGGUCACUUACUGGGCACAAAAUCUCCAGGAGCACAAUCCAAAAUCAAGUGGAACGUCUUCCCAGAAGAAUGGAGGUUACAAUAAGAGCAAAUGGGGACUAAAUGUGGGGAUGUUUCUAACAUUGAUCAUCCUUCAAUGCAAAGGUUUUUUUUUUCCAUUUUCCUCCAUAUCAUUUGUAAAAGUUUUUCCUCCGUUUUUCUAUUCGAUUUGCUCUGUUUUCAUGUAACUGCCCUUUAUCCAUUAAAGCGUAUUAUUAUUAUUA